CGGCCGGAGAUUAUCGGACAAAAGCUACCCUGGGGAUAACAGGCUGGUUGCGCCUAAGCGUCCAUAGCGACGGCGCAGUUCGGCACCUCGAUAAACAUAGCCGAUGUCGAGG
rfam:Parcubacteria bacterium GW2011_GWB1_43_6 TV98_C0033, whole genome shotgun sequence.